rnacentral:tRNA from 1 species
AUUGCUAUAGUUUAUAAAAAAUAUUACAUUGAAAAUGUAAAGAAAAAGUUUUUAGUAAUA